CCGAAACUGACCAAACGAUAUCCCAGAAUGCAUUGCGCAGCAGCAACAGGAAACAAUGGCGGAGAAAAUAAACAUAAAUACUACUGUUGUUGAGUCACGGAAUGUAAUUUAAGAAUGUUUUCAGUCGAGAAGUUAGUAGUUUAAGCAUCAAAUCUGUUGUCAGUUUAUCGAGAUUCAGCCUAAAAAAAAUAUUCGCCGGAGAUUGUCGGUCCUGCUGCAGACCGGUGAGCUCCACAGCGCCGGGCGGUCAGCGCGCUGUGUGGCCGUCGAGAGCAGCCUGAUCUCGGCAGGACUAUUUUAAUUGCUCCGCUGGCUCUGAUGUCUCCGGGUGUUUUUAAUUACAGCCUGUCCCGAACUGACGCACUCGUGUCUACAUUUCACAAAAUGCAAUUGUCUUGUCCAACCAGCUUCCAGUUAAAUACACAUUAUAAAAUAGCACAUCUACCUAGUUUUUAUUCCAUUAGUUUGUAUUUCGUCAAUCACAGUCGUAAAAGAAAGUAAAGCUGAUCGUGUGAAAUCCCGGGGGAACACCAGCGGGAGACCCUGAUGAAUAUACCAAGCGCUCCUCAAAACCUGGACGUGUUUGGGAAACAACAGUCUGCCUUCAGUGCGCAGUGAAUUUCAUCGGCGUCAGUCCACUAUCGCUUUUCAGGAGCCUCACAGGCCUGAAACUCAAAGGACCCUGGAAAGGCCACAAGACAGUGCAGCUGUGAGUCACAAGGAUUCACUUGCAGGUACCUGCAAAUUGACUAAUAUAUUUAAACUAGGGCUGUGAAACAAUUACAAUUUGUAAUCAAAUUAAUCACAGGUUUCUGUGGUUUAAUCAUGAUUAAUCACAUAUUACCGAUAUUCUCUGUAUAUUUUUGUGAGAACAUAAAGAUUUAUGACAAAAGACGGCUAUAUACAUUCAUACAUUGCUGCAACUCAGCAGUUAUUUAGCAAUUCUCUUCCAUAUGGAACAUUAAUAUAUCUUCAUCCUACACAGAACGUUUAAAUAUAACAUUUUUCUCUUGUUUGUCAACCAUUAACUCCACCAUGAUACAAUCUAAAGGCCUCUCGUCUUCCUCUAGCAGCUGCUGAGGCAAACUGACUGUGGGUUUUCUUCAUGAACUGGGGUCAUGAUGAAAGGGACGGCGGGGACACCGUUGCAAAGCUGAAACUUAAAGGAAUUGACGGAAGGCACCAGCAGGAGUGGAGCCUGCGGCUUCAUGUGACUCAACACGGGAAACCUCACCGGCCCGGACAGGAGAAUGGACCAAAUGUCAACUGGAAGUUUUUAUAUUAAUACAGUUUGAAAAGGAUUGUUUUCCUAGUAUAUUCACAAAAGCUCAGGAGUAGACAUGAACCUGUGCACAAACAUCCAUCACAUAGAGACAUGAGAACUCUCACUCACCCACACACACAUACAUUCUAUUAUGUAAAUGAAUCUGCAUUUUAAAAGCAGCUGGAAAUGUUAUUUGUUAUUUUAUGGAUUUUUUUUGUUCAAAAGGAACUAUGUUGCAUGUAUUUUUUAAAUAUAUUUACUUAAUUUUAGAGACAUUUGUUCAUGGGACUUAAAUGUUCUGAAAAUGUAUUAAUAAAUAUAAUUUACAACAGCAA